ensembl:misc_RNA Metazoa_SRP Metazoan signal recognition particle RNA
GCCAGGCAUGGUGGCACAUGCCUGUAAUCCCAGCUACUCAGGAGGCUGAGGCAGGACAAUCACUUGAACCUAGGAGGUGGAGGUUGCAGUGAGCCAAGAUUUUGCCACUGCACUCUAGCCUGGGUGACAGAGUGAGACUCUGUCUCUA